GUCCUCUCCCUUUGUGUAGGAGCUCUGUUUUCACGCUACUAAAUCUUGCAACUGCACUCUUCUGGUCCGUGUUUAUUACGGCUGGAGCUGAGCUUUCACUCGCCCUGCACCACUGCUGCUGGCUGCCGUCACAGACCCGCCACUGACUUCCAUCCCUCCGGAUGCGGCAGGGUGUCCGCUGUGCUCCUGAUCCAGUGAGGCGCCCAAUGCCCCUCCCAAUCGGGCUAAAGGCUUGCCAUUGUUCCUGCACGGCUAAGUGCCUGGGUUUGACCUAAUCAAGCUGAACAUUAGUCACUGGAUUCCACGCUUCUCUUCCAUGACCCACGGCUUCUAAUAGAGCUAUAACACUCACCGCAUGGCCCAGGAUUCCAUUCCUUGGAAUCAGUGAGGCCAAGAACCCCAGGUCAGAGAACAUGAGGCUUGCCACCAUCUUGGAAGCGGUCUGCCACCAUCUUGGGAGCUCUGGGAGCAAAGACCCGCCAGUAACAUUUUGGUGACCACGAAGGGACCUCCAAAGUGAUUUCUUCAGAAGAUGAAAUAGAUCAUCUGCCUUAAGGUUCUGGACCAGUGUAUGCAACACAAUAAACGUUCAGGAAAUGGUUGCUAUGAUGAUGACGACGAUGAUUAUGACAACAAUGAUGAUGAUGAAAUGAGUUGGUUUGUGAAAUAUUACCAUACUUAUAACAGUCAGAGGUAUUGAAAAGGUAUGCCUGGAAAACAUUGUUCCUCAUCAUUCCUUCUACCAAAUAUUUAUUCUAUUCUCAUCAUUUCCUGUAGGUGUGGAUCUUCAGGAGGUUGCCUCUCCCUGGCUGCAGAAUUAUCAUUUUUAGAGAAGCAGUGUGAUAAUCGUGGAACCAUCCCCUACAUUCCUUCACCCAGGAAGGAAGCAAUAUGAGCUGUGUGCACUGUACACUAUAGCAAUGGAGAAUCUGAUUUGACAAGCCAAAGAUCCUACAUUGGUUGCACACAUCAUGGAUAGCCUACGAACUUCCCUUUAAAGAAAGCUACGUAGAAGCAGGAUGAGUAAAAAUUUACAAACUGAAACAGGAACAUUUUCAAGGUGGAGCACAGUGGCGUGAUCUCAGCACACUGGAACCUCCGCCUCCCAGGUUCAAGCAAUUCUCCUGCGUCAUCCUCUCGAGUAGCUGGGACUACAGAUGUGCACCACCACACCUGGCUAAUUUUUUUGUAUUUCUAGUAGAGACAGGGUUUCACCAUGUUGGCCAGGCUGGUCUCAAACUCCUGACCUCGUGAUCCACCUGCCUCUGUCUCCUAAAGUGCUGGGAUUACAGGCAUGAGCCACCAUGCCUCGCCAAUUGAGAGCUAAUGGUUUUAAAGUGUGGCACUUCCCCAUGCACUCUCUCUCUCCUGCUGCCUUAUGAAAAACGUGUUUGUUUCCCCUUUACCUUCUACCAUGAUUGUUAAGUUUCCUGAGGCCUCCCCAGCCAUGUGAACCGAGUCAAUUAAACCUCUUUCCUUUACAAACUACCCAGUCUCAGGUAGUAUCUUUAUAGCAGUGUGAAAACAAACUAAUACACCAAAUAAGACUGAAGAAACUUAUGCUCAUCUCCAAACACUAUCUGCCAUGCUAUAAGCCAUUAGAACUCAUCUGUUUUACAAUCAGGUUUAAAGAAAGUAAGCUCAUGUCAAGGGCAGGGAUGAUUUCCAACAGAAUUGUGUUGCCCUCUCAUUAAUUCAAUGGCUAUAUUAAUUUUGAAAAUAAUGUAAUUAGCAAAUAGUGGCAGAAACAAUACACAUUUUCCCUCUCCUUUAUUUAAAAUGCAUGAUCAUGAUCUGUCAUUUAAUGAAUUCUAAAGAUAACAAAAUAUUAAAUUAUCUUCACCCUGCAAUAGAGGAUCAUGAAGCACAAAAAUGUAGAAAAGUAUGUUUUCCUGAGCUGAUGAUCUCCCAGUAGCAUGAG
rnacentral:lncRNA from 1 species